rnacentral:misc_RNA from 1 species
GGAAAUUUUCCGGAAUAGUGUCCGCACUCUGCUUAUAAGAGAGUGGUAGGUGUUUCAAAAUGACAAGUCCGUCCCUACUCGGCUAGCCCCACUACAGAGAGACGUGGAUGCUGACGUGGCUUGUUUUACUCUGUGUGGCUCUUUGAUCUUGGGUGAUCCUAACUAUGCAUAUGCCAACGGGGAUUCCACUUUGGAUUCCUCGUUUUAGGGGUUUU